UACGUAGGUGGCAAGCGUUAUCCGGAUUUAUUGGGCGUAAAGGGAACGCAGGCGGUCUUUUAAGUCUGAUGUGAAAGCCUUCGGCUUAACCGGAGUAGUGCAUUGGAGACUGGGAGACUUGAGUGCAGAAGAGGAGAGUGGAACUCCAUGUGUAGCGGUGAAAUGCGUAGAUAUAUGGAAGAACACCAGUGGCGAAAGCGGCUUUCUGGUCUGUAACUGACGCUGAGGUUCGAAAGCGUGGGUAGCAAACAGG
rnacentral:rRNA from 1 species